UAACUGUUGACAACCGGACAUUUUAUUGAAGUUUUAAGACUUAUUUGUGAAAAUGGUUAAACGAUGCGGAUGGGGAAUAUGUUAUGCGGAUGAAAGGUAUCCGGAGGGACUAAAUGGAGGCGGAUUUAAACGAUUUCCUACCUAUAAUCCGACAUUGAAAAGUGCAAAUGCUGGAUUAAAGCCUGUGGACGGCCACACGAGAAACUGAAUGUUAACAGGAUAAACCAGCACGAAGAUGUCUGCUCGAAGCACUUUCAUGGAGGAAAUGGACCAUCUAAAGAGUAUCCUGACCCAUUAUCAGCUGAUGGCUGGAGAAUAACAUCUUCAAGAAAACUCCACACAAAGCGGUCACUUGGAAAGGAAACUUAUGGCAGCAUUUAUACACAAAAUGCAAGUGUAUGCAUUUUAUACAAGAUAUCACAUGCCUAGAAAAGCUGGUCCAGGAUCCUGCAGACACUGUACAAGGAGUAGAAACACAGACCGAAUGUCCAUGGACAUCACCUUUGGAUAUGUUUGCAUUUACCGCUCAGAAUGCUUCCCUAAAAGAACAGCUGU